rnacentral:misc_RNA from 1 species
UGGCUCUCGCAUCGAUGAAGAACGCAGCGAAAUGCGAUAAGUAAUGUGAAUUGCAGAAUUCAGUGAAUCAUCGAAUCUUUGAACGCACCUUGCGCUCCUUGGCAUUCCGAGGAGCAUGCCUGUUUGAGUGUCGUGUAAUUCUCAAUCUCAACUUGUUUGUUGUAGAUUGGAUUUGGGAGCUUGUCGUGCCUCUUAGAGGUUAGACUCUCCUUGAAUGCAUUAGCUCGGUCACGUAGUUUGCCCGACGGUUCACGGUGUGAUAGUUUCACUUCAUCGCCGUUCUAACCUUUGGUGCCUGUGUUUUUACCGGCUUCUAAUCUCGUGGCAAAUCGGUGUCUUUCAUUAGACAUUGACAUGCCUAAUCACUUUAACGCUUGACCUCAAAUCAGGUAGGAUUACCCGCUGA